AUGAAGGCCUCAGGAGCAGUGCAAGGGUGCAGGGUGCUGGGUUGCUGCCUGUACCCCUCAAAAUGCCUCAGGCCACCCACCGCCUGCAAAUCUUUGUGUCUAAUAAUGGUGCCAAGUCCUACUUCUGCCCUGUGUAUCUCAGCUAAAGAUGACAACGAAGAAAUCUUUGGGGAAAUCAUCUACUUCAGGUGUUUGAGAAAUCUCUGAGGGUGAAGGAUGUUGCAUCUGCCUGAGCUGCGGCUCCCACAGCGUGUACCAGGAACUCUGGGAUGUGACUGCUGCGGACACUGUCACCCAGUGCCACCGAGACAUGGGUGCCCAGCACCAUGCCCCAGCCCACUCCAUCCAGAGGAGAUCACAGCCAGCAGGUGCCGCCAGCGGGUGGUCAGAGCUCCACAAGUCCAAGACCACAUUCCCCAUUGUCCCACUGGACCCUGUGCCUUCAGCACAAACCAUGCUUCACCUCGGAGCCCAACACCUUC
rnacentral:lncRNA from 1 species